UUGGGUGCAGCCAGGUGUCACACCGAGCCCGGGCCUCCUUCAGGUUUGUGUGCCCUCAUUAGUCACCCCGUCAACCUCUGCACCCCCAGUUUUGUACAUGAAGAAACUGGCUCCGGCAGCUCAGGUGACUGGCUGGUGACUUAUUUGCUGUCAGACCCAGGACAGAUGUCUGAACCUUGCUGGGCGUCACUUCCUCAUUUGUCAAGUGGGAGGAAUUGUUACCUUCAAGGUGGUUAUAAGGAUUAGGUGUUUAAGCCUCAAAGGUGUUGGGUGAUCUUUUCUUCUAAGAAUCUUUGGAAUAAUUCUGAUACAGGGAAAAAACAAAGAGCGGACUGUCCCCCUGCCCAGCCAUCCUCAGCCAUUCCUCCCGACCUGAGCUGAGUGCCAGAAGAACCAGAUUCAGUAGACGUUCAUCAGUACCUACUAUGUGCCAGGUCACUUCAUCCUGGCCCAGGUACUGCAGCUCCAAAUCGUGGGGAUUCUGUAAGAGCUUGCUACCUGUUGACUGAGGAGGCCCACGAGUUGAGCAAAAAGAAUGAUUCCUCAGCAGUCAUUGUGAAAUUUUGUGGGCCACAAGUAUUGUGCACACAUGAUCCUUGAUUUAGAGUCAACCUGAUGUCCAUUAUAGCUGUGGAAAGGCAGCAGGCAGUUGUGUCGCUCUUCACAAUAAGGAACACAUCUUGCUUUCAGCAUGUGAGAGGAACAAAAGCAUUGAUGUAAAUGUGCCUCAAAGUGAGAACUGAAAACAUUAACAUAAAAUAAAAAAGUCAAAUAAGACUAAGUUCUUACAACUACCUAUAAAAAUUGAAUUAUUACAACUAAAGCAGCAAAUCAAAACAUCUGCUGAGGUUUUCUGGUAGAACAACAACAAAAUUAGUUGGUGCCCAUGUUCAGUAAGUCACUACCAUUGACAAAACUAAAUCCAAAAUAGGAAAUUGAAA
rnacentral:lncRNA from 1 species